AAGCUUGCUUCCUAUGAAAUCGAGUGGGCAAACGGGUGAGUAACGCGUAAACAACCUGCCUUCGGAUGGGGAUACAGCCGGAAACGGCUGCUAAUACCGAAUACGAUCUUUUCGUCGCAUGACGGAAAGAAGAAAAAGGGUGGCCUCUAUACAAAGCUAUCGCCGAAGGAGGGGUUUUGCGUCUGAUUAGCUGGUUGGAGGGGUAACGGCCCAACAAGGCGAUGAUCAGUAGCCGGUCUGAGAGGAUGAACGGCCACAUUGGGACUGAGACACGGCCCAGACUCCUACGGGAGGCAGCAGUGGGGAAUCUUCCGCAAUGGACGAAAGUCUGACGGAGCAACGCCGCGUGAGUGAAGAAGGUCUUCGGAUUGUAAAGCUCUGUUAUACGGGACGAAAAAGACGGAUGCCAACAGUAUCCGUCCGUGACGGUACCGUAAGAGAAAGCCACGGCUAACUACGUGCCAGCAGCCGCGGUAAAU
rnacentral:rRNA from 1 species